rnacentral:rRNA from 1 species
UACGGAGGGUGCAAACGUUGCUCGGAAUCAUUGGGCGUAAAGCGCACGUAGGCGGUCCAGCAAGUCGGGUGUGAAAGCCCUCGGCUUAACCGAGGAAGUGCAUUCGAAACUACUGGACUUGAGUACUGAAGAGGGUCGCGGAAUUCCCGGUGUAGAGGUGAAAUUCGUAGAUAUCGGGAGGAACACCAGUGGCGAAGGCGGCGACCUGGGCAGAUACUGACGCUGAGGUGCGAAAGCGUGGGGAGCGAACAGG